CAGGGACCCUGCUGCCCGCACAUUGUACUAAUAUUAGUUACCUAUCAGCAGCCCUCCCCUUAUGAGGGGCGAUGGAUUUACCCUGUUGCCUGGAGACCAGACUCAAACAGAGACCCAGAGAGAGCACCGGGCGCUGGCUCCAGAGGGGUUAAGAACGAGUCCUGGAGCAGAUAACUCCUGGAAUGGAUAAUGGAGCCGAGUAAUCCCAGGAAAGUGAAGCCUCAGCUCGAGCUGGGGGGAGAUGACAGGAAGAAGGCAGCGUCUGUGGACCCCCUCCCCAGAUUUGGAGCUGUGGAAGCAGAAACAAGAGAAGAUACACAGACCCACAAGACUCCUGAGUCUUGGUCUCAAGGAAAUUAAGAGAGGAAGGAGAAAAAUGAAGAGGGUGAAGCUGAUAAAAAAGAGGGCAAGUUGGCGGAUGACUAAACAUUUUUAAGGAUGAACAGAAUGAAAGGUGAGAGAAAAGAAUAAACAGGGUGGAGAGAGAUAUAGAUUGCA
rnacentral:lncRNA from 1 species